UUAGGGAGACCUACCCAACGCUGAGAGUUGGAGAACAAAUCAGUGUGAGGUCAACCUAGGUCGGUCGAAGAACAGAUGUGUGGCUUUCAAACUAGAAUUCGGUUCAGGUCAGGCUAAACCGAGUAAGGGCUAUUAGCUCAGG
rnacentral:misc_RNA from 1 species